rnacentral:misc_RNA from 1 species
UCUCCGUAGGUGAACCUGCGGAGGGAUCAUUACCGAGUGAGGGUUCCGGCCCGACCUCAAACCCUUUGUGAAUUCGACCCAGUUGCCUCGGGGGCGACCCGGCCUUCGGGCGUCGGGGCCCCCGGAGCCCAUCAAACCCUGCGUAACUAAGUCGUCGGAGGUUAAAAAAAUUAAACAAAACUUUCAACAACAGAUCUCUUGGUUCGGGCAUCGAUGAAGAACGCAGC